AUCAUAUAAAAUGAACAAUGUACACUAUGUAUUCUGUCUUAUAAUUAAAAUCAAUAUAUUUGAAAAUGUAGAAAACAUCCAAAAUUAUUUAAAUAAAUGGUAUUCUAUUAUUGUUUAACAGCGCAAUUAAAACUGUGAUUAAUCACUACUAUUUUUU